GACGAACGCUGGCGGCGUGCUUAACACAUGCAAGUCGAACGGUGAAGCGCCUUCCUUUUUGGUGGGUGUGGAUGAGUGGCGAACGGGUGAGUAACACGUGAGUAACCUGCCCCCUUCUUCAGGAUAACCGCAUGAAAGUGUUGCUAAUACGGGAUAUCCUGGGCCUGUCGCAUGAUGGGUCUGGGAAAGAUAUUGUUUCGGUGGGGGAUGGGCUCGCGGCGUAUCAGCUUGUUGGUGGGGUGAAGGCCUACCAAGGCAGUGAGGGGUAGCCGGCCUGGGAGGGUGGCCGGUCCGAGAGGGUGUGCGGCCACACUGAGACUGAGAUAGGGAGCAGCAGUGUAGAGUAUGCAACAGUGGGAAAUAUUACGCAGCAGCGGCGCGGCGUGUGGGAUGGCGGCCUUUGGGGUAUGAAGGUCUUUCGGCAGUGAAGCAGUUUUGCCUGUUUUGUGGGUGGGUUGACGGUAGCUGGAUAAGAAGCGCCGGCUAACUACGUG
rnacentral:rRNA from 1 species